rnacentral:rRNA from 1 species
CUACGGGGGGCUGCAGUGGGGAAUAUUGGACAAUGGGCGAAAGCCUGAUCCAGCCAUGCCGCGUGUGUGAAGAAGGCCUUCGGGUUGUAAAGCACUUUCAGUGGGGAAGAAAGCCUUGGGGCUAAUACCCUCGAGGAAGGACAUCACCCACAGAAGAAGCACCGGCUAACUCCGUGCCAGCAGCCGCGGUAAUACGGAGGGUGCGAGCGUUAAUCGGAAUUACUGGGCGUAAAGCGCGCGUAGGCGGUCUGAUAAGCCGGUUGUGAAAGCCCCGGGCUCAACCUGGGAACGGCAUCCGGAACUGUCAGGCUAGAGUGCAGGAGAGGAAGGUAGAAUUCCCGGUGUAGCGGUGAAAUGCGUAGAGAUCGGGAGGAAUACCAGUGGCGAAGGCGGCCUUCUGGACUGACACUGACGCUGAGGUGCGAAAGCGUGGGUAGCAAACAGGAUUAGAUACCCUUGUAGU